GCGAACGUGGCGGAAUUGGCAGACGCACCAGACUUAGGAUCUGGCUCCCGCGAGGGAAUGGGAGUUCGACCCUCCCCGUUCGCACCA
rnacentral:tRNA from 1 species